rnacentral:SRP_RNA from 12 species
GGAGAAGAGCAACGCUCAAAACAGCUUGAGUUGGAUCGCUGGAGGCUGGAAACAGACCAGAUCACUGUGAAGCUGCAGUCAGAGG